UACGUAGGGUGCGAGCGUUAAUCGGAAUUACUGGGCGUAAAGCGUGCGCAGGCGGUGAGCUGUGUCCGAUGUGAAAGCCCCGGGCUUAACCUGGGAACUGCGUUUGAAACUGGGAGACUAGAGUGUGGCAGAGGGGGGUGGAAUUCCACGUGUAGCAGUGAAAUGCGUAGAUAUGUGGAGGAACACCGAUGGCGAAGGCAGCCCCCUGGGUUAACACUGACGCUCAUGCACGAAAGCGUGGGGAGCAAACAGG
rnacentral:rRNA from 1 species